rnacentral:rRNA from 1 species
UUGUUCCUACGGGGGGCAGCAGUGGGGAAUAUUGGGCAAUGGGCGCAAGCCUGACCCAGCAACGCCGCGUGAAGGAAGAAGGCUUUCGGGUUGUAAACUUCUUUUAAGAGGGAAGAGCAGAAGACGGUACCUCUUGAAUAAGCCACGGCUAACUACGUGCCAGCAGCCGCGGUAAUACGUAGGGGGCAAGCGUUAUCCGGAAUUAUUGGGCGUAAGGAGUACGUAGGUGGUUUUGUAAGCGCGGGGUGAAAGGCAGUGGCUUAACCAUUGUAAGCCUUGCGAACUGCAAGACUUGAGUGCAGGAG